rnacentral:lncRNA from 1 species
ACUGUUGUCAUAGUCAACAAGGUUGAAACUUCCAGGAAAAAACUUCAAAUUGGGAGGGCGAUCCUCCCGGUGAACUGACCGUACCCCAAACCGACACAGGUGAACAAGUAGAGUAUACUAGGGCGCUUGAGAGAACCAUGUCGAAGGAACUCGGCAAAAUGACCCCGUAACUUCGGGAGAAGGGGUGCUCUCCUAUCUUUUGAUUAGGAAAGCGGCACAUACCAGGGGGUAGCAUCCAAUGCGCCAGAGAGGGGCUUG